AGUGAACGCUGGCGGUAGGCCUAACACAUGCCAGUCGAACGGCAGCACAGUAAGAGCUUGCUCUUACGGGUGGCGAGUGGCGGACGGGUGAGGAAUACAUCGGAAUCUACUUUUUCGUGGGGGAUAACGUAGGGAAACUUACGCUAAUACCGCAUACGACCUACGGGUGAAAGCAGGGGUUCUUCGGACCUUGCGCGAUUGAAUGAGCCGAUGUCGGAUUAGCUAGUUGGCGGGGUAAAGGCCCACCAAGGCGACGAUCCGUAGCUGGUCUGAGAGGAUGAUCAGCCACACUGGAACUGAGACACGGUCCAGACUCCUACGGGAGGCAGCAGUGGGGAAUAUUGGACAAUGGGCGCAAGCCUGAUCCAGCCAUACCGCGUGGGUGAAGAAGGCCUUCGGGUUGUAAAGCCCUUUUGUUGGGAAAGAAAAGCAGCAGGUUAAUACCCCGCUGUUCUGACGGUACCCAAAGAAUAAGCACCGGCUAACUUCGUG
rnacentral:rRNA from 1 species